CGUCACAGAGAGUAGACUAGAAACAAUUACCAAGGGCAGAACACUAAUAAGAGUUUCUAGGUCAGUGUUGCUGAGGAGCGCCACAAUGGCUUGCUAAGAAGGAACAAACGGUCUUGCUGAUGAGAUAUACAGUGCUUGAUACAUUUUCCACCAGUGGGAGCUACAUCGAAAGAUGAAGUGAGGCACUUGGGGAGGAGACUCCAAGCUUGACUCAACAUACAAGGGAACAAUUACACUUUAAUCACAAAAAGAAAAAGUCCUACCAAAAUCGACACUUUGGGGAUUUCCCUACCAAAAUCAGGAAAUUUCAGGUCUUCGAAUUGAGAGCAGCCACUCCUGAGGGGUCUUGUCGCCACCCGAACCUUGUCUUCAAGCCUGAUGGUACAGCUGGAUUAAAAAACUGAAGCAUUAAACAUCUUGUGAUUUUCCCAAGUUGGUGUUUCAGUUGCUUAUUGCUUUAUCAACCAAGAAAUGGAACAGUACCUCUGCUCACAAGAUAAGCAUAAAUGUUAAAGACCCAUGAAGAAUUGUCUCCCAACAGCCUGAGCCAUCACAUGAGAGCACAGUUUGACUGCUCUCAUGGAGAAACCACGUGGAAGGAACACGUGGAGAAGAAACAUUUUGAAAACACAUACAGAAGAAAAGACAUCCAGCUAUCUUAGCAUCCCAGAGACCUGUAGAACUAUUCAGCUGAGCUCACUGAAACCACAGAACCAUGAGAGAUGACAAAAUGUUUGUUGUUUGAAGCAACUACAUUUCAAAGUGCAAUUUCACUAAAAUAUUGAGUAAUG